GUUGCCCAUGAUGAGUUGCGGAAUUAUUGCCUACAUUGUUUGACAAACAUCCCUGCGUGCACUCAGCAGCUGAGGCAUAC
rfam:Zea mays cultivar B73 chromosome 1, whole genome shotgun sequence.